AAAUACACAUAUAGUUGGUCAAGCAAAUCUUGUCAGUAGAAAAACGCGGCAAAUUUGAAAAAUCGCGGGCUAGCAACACUGUGUUCGAAUAAUUCCAAAAUCGCGUGUAAUCUGUGUUUUAUCUGUAGAAUGUGGAUCGUCCAUCUUGUUUGUUUACAUUCCGAAUCGGUGCUAAUUCAAGAGAAAUUUCUGCUCCCAGCAUUAAAAUAAAUAUCAAUAUAUUAAAUAAUAUUGUGCAUGACCAUAAGCAAAGUCAAGAUGCCUACAAUGGUUAAAAGGCUUAAAUAAAGAUAAAACGUAUGCCUCAAUAUAUCCAAUAAGACCACGAAUUGUGCCCUCGAAACCGCAACUGAUUCGAUUGUUCCCAAUAUCAACAGACGAAGUCCUCAAAUAUUUUCAAAGGAUUAAAACUCGCCCAAUAUAAGGCGUUCGUAAAAGUUUCUCUUCAUACAAAACUUACCUACGGCGGUUUACGUACAUACGUGUACAACGCAAACAAGACGAAAAAUAAACUUGUUAAUUAAAAAAACUAAAAAAAUUGGGACAAUAGUUUAGAUUAUUAUUGUAAAAGUUGUCCGUUUGUUAAUCAUCACGAAAAUAUAUUAUUUAGGCUGAUUUGUUUCAUGCACUCAGCUAUUGCACAUGUAUACCUAUGGAAAAUCCUAGUUUAUACUUUCUGAAGUCGGUAUGUACCUAUUUAAGAGAAGUUUUAAGUCGCUUUACCUGUUUGUUCAAUAAAUUAAAAUAAUUUAUUCAGUGUGCAUAAUUUUAGAAAAAUAUUUUAACAUUUAAAUCAUACCUUCUUUUAUCCAGAAACAAUAUAACUCCAUAUUACUCACAUGAGUGGAAGUUGUUAAGUUUCCAUUGUCAAGGUAUCUUUUAUUAAUAUUUUGAGUACCUGAAAUUGUGUCAGUUCCUGACAAGUCUUGAAUAGACUAAUGUGAAAGUUAAUAAAAUUUCUUAACAGCAUUCUCCUGAUAUCUAAAUGACUUUUUUAAAUAUCUACAUAUAAAAUAUGAUCUAGCCGAUACAUGUAAAUAUCUAACAUUUUUAGCCUGUAUAAAAACAGUAGUGUGAGCAAAACCUU